CUGAUUGAGGACACGCCUCCCUAUGAUUGAGCACACCUUUUUAUUAUCACCCAUGCCUGUGGAGCUGUUUUUCUCCCUCAAUAUCCUGAAGAAGACUGUCAUGUCAAAAGACUGACACCGAGGGAAACAGGAACUUGGCCGACAGCGGUGACCUACUGGUGUGAGACAUAAACAACACGAACAAGACUAAAACAAAUCGGACAGGGCUAAAGGACUCUCAGACGUUCCAGGAGACGAAGGAGCUGGAGUGAUCCGUGGAAAAGCAGGAGCAGACAAUUUUGAGUCAGCUGAGUCAACAAGGAGACAAGUAAAGGAAGUAAACCUGGAUGUGAGUGAAAGAGGACUGACAAGGAAGGAGGAAGUGUGACGGCCGGUCAAAGAAAUGUGGUCGGUUACACACAAACAAUGACUGUUACCACUCGGACUCUAAAGGAAGGUAAAC